rnacentral:rRNA from 1 species
AUUGAACGCUGGCGGCAGGCCUAACACAUGCAAGUCGAGCGAGCGGCGGACGGGUGAGUAAUGUUUGGGGAUCUGCCCGAUAGAGGGGGAUAACUACUGGAAACGGUGGCUAAUACCGCAUACUAUCGGAUGACCCCAUAUGGGAUUAGGUAGUAGGUGGGGUAAAGGCUCACCUAGGCGACGAUCUCUAGCUGGUCUGAGAGGAUGAUCAGCCACACGGGUACUGAGAAACGGCCCAGAAUCCUACGGGAGGCAGAAGGGGGGAAUAUUGCACAAUGGGCGCAAGCCUGAUGCAGCCAGGCCGCGUGAAUGAAGAAGGCCUUAGGGUUGUAAAGUACUUUCGGCGGGGAGGCGUUACCCACAGAAGAAGCACCGGCUAACUCCGUGCCAGCAGCCGCGGUAUAC